UACGGAGGAUGCAAGCGUUAUCCGAAUUCAUUGGGUUUAAAGGGUACGUAGGUGGCCCAGUAAGUCAGUGGUGAAAUCCUGCCGCUUAACGGUAGAACUGCCAUUGAAACUGCUGGGCUUGAGUACAGUUGAGGUAGGCGGAAUGUGUAGUGUAGCGGUGAAAUGCUUAGAUAUUACACAGAACCCCGAUUGCGAAGGCAGCUUACUAAACUGUAACUGACACUGAGGUACGAAAGCGUGGGGAGCGAACAGG
rnacentral:rRNA from 1 species